AAUUCUAAUUUAAUAGAAGUCAAGUUAUGAUCUGAGAGAUAACUUAAAAAUGGAAAGUUAUUUAGAAACAAGAUAAAAGGCAAAACACCAAACUUCAUACAAACUUAAAUGUUUGACAUUUAAAAAUUAAAGAGAUUUUUUUUUAAGUGUAUUUGAGACAAAUAAGCCAACCUUGGUACAUAACCGCUGAAAACUAAAAAACCGUACCCUAAACCAACACAGGUGGAUAGGUCGAGUAGACUAAGGUGUAUGAGAUAAUUAUGUUGAAGGAACUCGGCAAAAUGACUCUGUAACUUCGGGAGAAAGAGUACCUUUUUAUUUAAAUGUUUAUCGACG
rnacentral:rRNA from 3 species